AACGCACAUUGCGCCCUGUGGUAUUCCGCAGGGCAUGCCUGUUCGAGCGUCAUUAUAGCCAAUCACGCUUGGCGUGGUGUUGGGGCACGUGGUUCCGCGGCCUUCAAAACAAGUGGCGGCGCCGGUCGGCUCUGAGCGUAGUAAAUCUCCUCGCUAUAGAGACCGGUUGGUGGCUCGCCAGAACCCCCACUUCUUAAGGUUGACCUCGGAUCAGGUAGGGAUACCCGCUGAACUUAA
rnacentral:misc_RNA from 1 species